AUUGAACGCUGGCGGUAUGCUUAACACAUGCAAGUCGAACGAGUGGCGGACGGGUGAGUAAUGCAUAGGAAUCUACCUUUUAGGCUAGAAUAACUACCCGAAAGGGUGGCUAAUACUGGAUGCUAAGAGAUGAGCCUAUGUGGGAUUAGUUAGUUGGUGGGGGCAUGGCGCACCAAGGCGCCGAUCUCUAGCUGGUUUGAGAGGAUGGUCAGCCAACCUUGGACUUAGACACGGCCCAGAGUCCUACGGGAGGCAGCAGUGGGGAGUAUUGGACCAUGGGCGAAAGCCUGAUCCAGCAAUACCGCGUGUGUGAAGAAGGCCCUAGGGUUGCAAAGCACUUUUGUUAGGUAGAUGUUACCUAAAGAAUAAGCACCGGCUAACUCCGUGCCAGCAGCCGCGGUAAUAC
rnacentral:rRNA from 1 species